rnacentral:lncRNA from 1 species
GCGAACCUAACAUGAAAUAAGAUGCCAGAAGGAGGGCCAGACCCAUCCAUCAACGGGCCAUCAAUAAAUGCAAAUGGGAAAGCCUGCUCUGGAAAGAAAAUCUAUCAUAUGCCUUGGAUCAGGCAACGCUUAAUGUCACUUCGAUGUCUCUCAGCCUCAGGUUCCUCCAGGCCCGUCCCACUCUCUACAGUGACAAAUUGAUUUCACAAAAAAACAAUGAAGCCCAUCUCAACCUGUGGCCGUUGCACCACACUUUUCUCUUGAGAUGGUCCCUGGAAGGAAACCCUCAGAAGAGGAUAUAGAACUGGAUUGCUUCCUGUUCUGAUGCUAUCAGGAACAAUAGUCCUCGUGAAAAGGGUUAAACAACUUCUUGAAACAGAAGCCUGCCUACUGGACCCACCUCAGUCAAGGAAAACUGUGGCUCUUUCCAGAGGUGCCUGAGACACCUACCUCCUAAGGCUCAGAUCUGAAGAUCUCUGCAUGGUACUGGGCACAGAACCUAGUUGCCUUCACAGUAUGCCUUACUAUGGGGGGACCCCUUCCCUGGAGCAGUGGUAAAACAGGAAGUGACCAUCGUGAACCCUGAGCAUGGCUCAGGAGCCUCCCACUGGUUUCCCUGUUCUGCAGAUGGGGUAGCUAUUGUCUGUAUGGACGCUUGGGCAUCUGGUCACCCAUGGACCGUAUUUCAAUCUUUGUCUUG